CCUGAACAGCCUCCAGGUGCAGAAUCAUCACUGCUUCGUUUCUGUUCCCAGGCACUUUAUACAGACCAGCACCGUGGCACUUUCAGGGCACACAGGAAUGACUCUGUCAAGACUCUCUCAGUUUCAACUGAAGGAAGACUAAUCCUUUUGGCUGAAACCAAAAGGGAACUUACUGUCUCAUUUCACUAAAAUGGCUAGCUUUCAGGUGCAGCUGGAUCAAGGGGUCCUGAUUCUUUAUGACUCAAUUCGUCUCUGAGGUCAUUUCCUGGAUGUUGAUUCCGUUCUGAGACAAGUUCUCCCAUUGUGGCCACGAGAUAGCUGCUGUGGCUGCAGACAGCACAUCCUCUCUGCUCCAACUCGGGAGCCUCUGCCCCGUGUCCCAUCGAAAAGUGUCAUGGGUUCUCAUUGGUUCUGACUGGGGCACAUACCCACCUGGGUCACUUCAUAUGGCCUGGGGAAUCCAGUGGACUGGCUUAGGACAGGGUCAUGUGCUCCCCUGGGGAGGGAGAUUGAGAGUGGAGCAGGGGUGACAUCCCCACAAGAAUCAGGAUGCAGUUUGCAGGAGAAGAGAAAAUCAGUGCUGGAAAGCCAAAAAAAAGCAACAAGGCAACAUUACUACUGUUCAUAACAACAGUUGUAAGUCACUCUCAGCCUCACACUUGCUGGGUCCUGUGUAUCCCCACCCCACUGGGCUUGAGACCUUCGACAGCGAAGAGGAGUUCUGCUCUGCCAACAGAAAAACCGGAGGCAGCAGGGGAGGGAGGAGCUGGCUGUUCCUCCUCAACCCAAGUCGGCUGCGCCCUGCGCAGGGAGGUUGGCACCUGCGGGCCCGGGGUCUCCGCGGGGAAGCUGGCCCAGGCGCCUGCUCCGGGCAGCUGUGGCCGUAACUCUCCGCCUCAGUCAGCUCGGCUGCUGUGACAGAAUCCCACAGACGGGCGGCUCAGACAUCAGCCGUUCACUCCUCACAGCCCCGGAGGCUGCGGGUCCAGGACCAAGGUGGCCGCCCGCUCCUUGCCUGGUGAGAACCCACUUCCUUGCUGCAUCCUCACUGCAUGUGGGGAGAGAGCAGGCUCCCUGGUGUCUCUUCUUACCGGGACGCUGAGUCCAUCCUGAAUGACGUCCUCGGAGGCCCAUCUCCACAGACAGCCACCCCGGCCACGGGCACCGACAGCCAUCGAUCCGUCAGUCAGGAUUGUAUCUGCAUCUGCGUUUCCCUCGAUGUCUACAUCCAUAUGCGUGUCCGAAUCUGUGUCUUGGCUUUAAACAACCAUUUGCUGACGAUCAUGGAUUCUGUGGGUCAGGAAUUUGACAGGACACAGCAGGGCUGGCUUGUCUCGGCUCCAUGGUGUCGGGGACUCAGCUGGGGAGACCUGGAGGCUGGGGGCACUUAACAGCCAGGACUGGAAUCAUCUGAAGCCUCCUUCACGCGCAGGUGCACACAGAGGGCCAGUUGGAAGCGGCGGAGAGUUAUGCCCUGGACAGACGUGGUCUCAAUGAGGAAAUACCACAGCUCCCUUGUUCUUCAUCCGCGACGAUUUGGAGUAACCUUCUGCACUGUCUCCCGGAGGUCCUCAGUGGGAUUAAGCCCCAGUGGCCCAUAGCAGUGACCUGCUCCUGAAGCACCCCGCUGGCUCCCUUCCCUGCCCUGACUCCCUUCCUGUCUCCCCAAGUGUUUCCUGGGAUCAUCUCCAAAAUCCAUGACUUGCACUUGAAUCCUUGUCUUAGAAAUUGCUUCUGGGGGAGACCAACAAAGACACCCCUCGUGCCUCAGACAGCAGUCGAUGUGACCAGCAGCUGAGGGGUCUGAUUUGGGGAAGGGAUUUACAAAAUUCUCAGACUUUCUUAUCGUCUGCUUGAAUGACAUCCUUAUCGGUCCAGAGCCUGACACAGACCAAGGCAUGUCUUUAAUGCAGGGUAAUCACUUCUCUCCUGUGUUUCUUGUGACUGAGCGUGCUAUUUAUUAGUUUUUCCUUUAUAUUCAGCCAUUGCUCUUGAAAUAAACUCACUGUAUC
ensembl:lncRNA